rnacentral:rRNA from 1 species
ACGUAGGGUGCGAGCGUUAUCCGGAUUUACUGGGCGUAAAGGGUUGCGUAGGCGGUUUAUUUAGUCAACACUGAAAUAUCUAUGCUUAACAUAGAACCCGGUUUUGAUACUAGUAAACUUCGAGUCUUGGAGAGGUAACUGGAACUUGCAGUGGAGCGGUGAAAUGCGUUGAGAUUGCAAGGAACACCAAAGGCGUAGGCAGGUUACUGGCCGAGAUCUGACGCUGAUGCACGAAAGCCAGGGGAGCAAACGGGA